rnacentral:rRNA from 1 species
UACGGGGGGGGGCAAGCGUUAUUCGGAAUUACUGGGCGUAAAGAGCGCGUAGGCGGCCAGGUAUGUCAAAGGUGAAAUCCCUCGGCUCAACCGAGGAACGGCCUUUGAAACUGCCUGGCUUGAGGCUGGGAGGGGAUAGCGGAAUUCUCGGUGUAGCGGUGAAAUGCGUAGAUAUCGAGAGGAACACCUGUGGCGAAGGCGGCUAUCUGGACCAGUUCUGACGCUGAGGCGCGAAAGCGUGGGGAGCAAA